rnacentral:rRNA from 1 species
AUUUAACGCUUGCGGCAGGCCUAACACAUGCAAGUCGAGCGAGUGGCGGCCGGGUGAGUAAUGUCUGGGCAACUGCCCGAUGGAGGGCGCUAACUACUGGAAACGGUAGCUACUACCGCAUUCCAUCGGAUUUGCCCCGAUGGGAUUAGCUAGGCGGUGGGGUAACGGCUCACCUCGGCGACGAUCCCUAGCCGGUCUGAGAGGAUGACCAGCCACACUGGAACUGAGACACGGUCCAGACUCCUAAGGGAGGCAGCAGUGGGGAAUAUUGCACAAUGGGCGCAAGCCUGAUGCAGCCAGGCCGCGUGUAUGAAGAAGGCCUUCGGGUUGGAAAGUACUUUAAGCGAGGAGGCGUUACUCGCAGAAGAAGCACCGGCUAACUCCGUGCCAGCAGCCGCGGUAAUUC